UACGUAGGGGGCAAGCGUUGUCCGGAAUCAUUGGGCGUAAAGAGCGUGUAGGCGGUUCAGUAAGUCUGCUGUGAAAGUCCAGGGCUCAACCCUGGGAUGCCGGUGGAUACUGCUGGGCUAGAGUACGGAAGAGGCGAGUGGAAUUCCCGGUGUAGCGGUGAAAUGCGCAGAUAUCGGGAGGAACACCUAUUGCGAAGGCAGCUCGCUGGGACGUUACUGACGCUGAGACGCGAAAGCGUGGGGAGCAAAUAGG
rnacentral:rRNA from 1 species